GGUGAACGCUGGCGGCGUGCUUAAGACAUGCAAGUCGAACGGCAGUCUUCGGACUGUAGUGGCGCACGGGUGAGUAACGCGUAACUGACCUACCCCAAAGUCGCGGAUAACGAUUCGAAAGAAUCGCUAAUACGUGAUGUGCUGUCAGAUUGUGUUCUGCCAGUAAAGAUUGAUUGCUUUGGGAUGGGGUUGCGUUCCAUCAGCUAGUUGGUGGGGUAAAGGCCCACCAAGGCGACGACGGAUAGCCGGCCGGAGAGGGUGGCCGGCCACAGGGGCACUGAGACACGGGUCCCACUCCUACGGGAGGCAGCAGUUAGGAAUCUUCCACAAUGGGCGAAAGCCUGAUGGAGCGGCGCCGCGUGAGGGAUGAAGGUCUUCGGAUCGUAAACCUCUGAAUCAGGGACGAAAGACACUUCGGUGGGAUGACGGUACCUGAGUAAUAGCACCGGCUAACUCCGUGCCAGCCGCCGCAGUAAAAC
rnacentral:rRNA from 1 species